rnacentral:rRNA from 1 species
AGAAGGACUUACUCUUCGGAGUGAGAGCGUACACAGGUGCUGCAUGGCUGUCGUCAGCUCGUGUCGUGAGAUGUUGGGUUAAGUCCCGCAACGAGCGCAGCCCUGCAUUCAGUUGCCAUCGGUAAGGCCGGGCACUCUGGAUGGACUGCCGGCGACAAGCCGGAGGAAGGUGGGGACGACGUCAAGUCAUCAUGGCCCUUAUGUCCAGGGCGACACACGUGCUACAAUGGCCGGCACAACGGGAAGCGAAGGGGCGACCCUGAGCGGAUCCCACAAAAGCCGGUCCCAGUUCGGAUUGCAGUCUGCAACUCGACUGCAUGAAGUUGGAAUCGCUAGUAAUCGUGGAUCAGCCAAGCCGCGGUGAAUACGUUCCCGGGCCUU